rnacentral:rRNA from 1 species
GCUUACGGCCAUACCACCCUGAACACGCCCGAUCUCGUCCGAUCUCGGAAGCUAAGCAGGGUCGGGCCUGGUUAGUACUUGGAUGGGAGACCGCCUGGGAAUACCCGGUGCUGUAAGCU